CUGCUCACUUUGGCAGCUCAUAUUCUAAAAUUGGAACGAUACAGAGAUCAGCAAGGCCGCUGAGCAAGGAUGACAUGCAAAUUCAUGAAGCGUUCCAUAUUUUU